UAAAUUAGUUGAAUAUUUUUGAUUGUUUUAAUUUACACCCAACGAACCGUAAAAACGCUAAAAUAAUAAAAUUUACAUCCUCUAUAUCUAUAGUAUAUUUAUAUCUUGGCUAUUAUCUUCAUCAAGAAUAUGUUGACGAUUAUUUAGGAUCUGUACCGCAUUACUAGAAGGUAGUAUCCAUAUAUAGUAAAAAAAUUAUAUGCUAUAUUACCUUACUAUUAAGGCCUAUUUUAGUGGCUGAUACACUAAAGGUGGGCAGCCUUAGGAUUUCAAUGCUAAUGUUUCAAUUAUUUUUAGUAAAAACAAGUAUAUUUUCAAAAGCAAUAAAACUAUCCCCAUCACAAUAUAAAUAUAUCACAUUUUUUUUUGGACUAAAGCGGCCUACAGACGAUCAAUAUUAUUGCGCAAAAUAUUGCACAAUAAUAUUGCUAGUCGUUCUCAAACAGUGCAAUAUAUUUGUGUAAUAACUAUAUUCAAUAUAUGGCGCAAUAAUUAGUUUUGUUUUCCACUUUGUAGGUAAGAUAUGUAAGAAAAAUGAAUAAGAAAAAAGUGCUAUUGCCAUUGUUUUGGCAACAUGUUUGAAAAGGAAAAAAAAGCCUAGAAGUAAAUGGAUGAAAGAAUGGUUUAAGAAAAGGAACCAGUUUAGUCAUGAAUGUCUAUUAAGGAAAUUAAAAGUUAGUGACCCUGCUGAUUUUAAAAACUUUCUACGAAUGGAUUAUACAACAUUUAGUGAAUUAUUAAAAAUGGUUACACCUGAAAUAGAAAAAAUGAAUACCACUAUGAGAGAUGCUAUUCCUGCUAGUCAGCGACUGUCAAUCACACUGCGAUAUUUAGCUACAGGCAACAGUUUUCAAGAUUUAAAAUUCACCAGUGCCAUAUCUCCACAAUCCAUAGGUGAAAUUGUUAUGGAAACUUGUGCAGCUAUAAUUUACAAGCUAAAGGAUAAUAUAAAGAUUCCAGAGACAGAAGAAGAAUGGAAGGCUGUUGCGAGAGGAUUUGAAAAUCAAUGGAAUUUUCCGAAUUGUUUGGGGGCAGUAGAUGGGGAACACGUGUCCAUUAAGCAACCACCCCACAGCGGUUCAUACUAUUAUAACUAUAAAAAAUUUUUUAGUACACAUCGUGUGUUGUUAAUUCAAAUUAUGAAUUUUUAAUGGUCGAUGCUGGAAUUAAUGGACGAAUAUCUGAUGGAGGUGUUUUGAGUGCCACUGCAUUUGGCAGAGCCUUAUCGGAUAACAAACUUAAAAUUCCAGAACCUACUGUAUUAGAGAAUAGUGAUAAAACAUUGCCCUUUGUUUUCAUAGGUGAUAAUGCUUUCGCAUUAACAAAAAAUUUUAUGAAACCUUAUGCACAAACUGGAUUAACUGCAGAACAACGGAUAUUUAAUUACCGCCUAAGUCGUGCUCUGUAUUUGGCGUGUUUCAACGACCUAAUGCGCUAAGCCCUGAAAAAGCUCGGAUAAUUACUUUAGCGUGUUGCUAUUUACAUAAUUAUUUAAGAAGGAAACAAUCAAAUACAUACAUUGAUAAAACUACCAUCGAUAUUGAAGAUCAGAAGUCGGGUAAAAUUAUUUAAGGCGCAUGGAGAGUCACUGCACCAACAACAUUAUUGCAGACACCCCCUCCCGGAAUUCAACUGUGUACGCAAAAUAUGUCAGGGAUAAUAAUUAUUGCCACUAUUUUAAUAAUGAAGGCCAAGUUGCAUGGCAAAAUAAAUUUGCAUAGUACAUAAAAGGCAUUUAAAUAUAUAUAUUUUAAGUA